CCAUUUUUCCAUCACCCCAUCCUCUCUUUUCAUCCUAAUUAACCUUUUAAUCCAUCCAACUCUAACUGCCUCUCUCAAUCUCUCUCAAACAUGAGUCACUACUAACAACACCAAGGUCCACAAAUCUAUCCACCACCGGCCACCGCAUAUCCUCCGCCCGGCCAAGCCUACCCACCUCAAUCAUACCCUGGCACCGCAUACGUGGCGGCACCACCGCCAAUGGGGUACCCCACAAAUGAAGGGUCUGGGUACCCCCAACAACAUGUUCCUGUGGAAACUAAGAGCAGAGGUGAUGGAUUUUGGAAAGGAUGUUGUGCUGCCUUACGUUGCUGUUGCGUUUUGGAUGCGUGCUUUUGAGGUGGCGACCAGAGAUGCGUGACUGUUUUAUCUUCCUUUAUUGUUUAUGUUUUCUGUCAAUUUGAUGUAAAAAAGAAAAAAGGAGGAUGAUAUGGUCGUUUCCUCCUCGAGAUUGUAUUGUUUUUAAAUUCAUUUAUAUGAGAUGGUUAGUUUUAAUU